rnacentral:lncRNA from 1 species
UGGAGUGCUUAGCCUCCUGGAGUGGGCUUUAGGCCUGCCUGGAGUGCUUUAGGCCUCCGGUGCUUUAGGGCCUGCCUGGAGUGCUUUAGGCCUGCCUGGAUGCUGUAGCCUGCUGGAGUGCUUUAGGCCUCCCUGGAGUGCUUAGGCCUGCUGUAUGCUUUAGCCUGCCUGGAGUGUUUAGGCCUGCCUGGAGGUCUUUAGGCCUGCCUGGAUGCUUUAGGCCUGCCUGGAGGGCUUUAGGCCUGCCUGGAGUGCUUUAGGCCGUGCCUGGAGUGCUUGAGGCACGGCCUGGGUCUUUGCCGGCCUGGGUGCUUUAGGCCUGCCUGGAGGGCUUAGGCCGCGCUGGAGUGCUUUAGGCCUGCAUGGAGUGCUUUAGGCCUGCCUGGAGUGUUUAGCCUGCCUGGAGUGCUUUAGGCCCUGCCUGGAGUGCUUGGCGAGGGCGUGCCUGGAGUGCUUUAGGCUGCCUGGAGUGCUUUAGGCCUGCCUGGAGUGCGUGCUGCUGGAUGCUUUAGGCCUGCCUGGAGUGCUUAGGCUGCCGGUGCCUGGAGUGCUGUAGGCUGCCUGGAGUGCUUAGCGCCUGGAGUGUGGAGUGCCUUUAGGCCUGCCGGGAGUGCUUUAGGCCUGCCUGAGUGCUUUAGGCCCUGCCUGGAGUGCUUUAGGCCUGCCUGGAGUGCUUUAGGCCUGCCUGGAGUGCUUUAGGCUGCCUGGAGUCUUAGGCCUGGCCUUGAUGCCUGGAGUGCUUUAGUGAGGCCUGCCGGCCUGGAGUGUUAGGCCUGCCUGCCUGGAGUGCUUUAGGCCUGGAGUGUCUGGAGUGCUUUAGGCCUGCCUGGAGUGCUUUAGGCUGGGUGCCUGGAGUGCUUAGGCCUGCCUGGAAUGCCAGAUGGCACUAUUAUUCUGGUUAAACAGACCAGAUCAGUCAAGCCCAGUUAAAAUAUUGAAAUGAUUUCAAAUAGUAUUUGAACCCAGGUCUGACACACACACACACACACACACACAACAGCCUAUACAGAGUAUAUCAAUGAACAUUUCACACAAUAACAACAUUGAAAUGAAACUACUUUCCUCAUUCGUCUAGGAAAACCUAGUGAGAUGCUAAUGGCGUUUUUUAUGUAUCUUUAUUUUUAACAAGUUGUUACUACAACGCUAUGUAAGGUAAAAACAUGAACAUAUUGCUAUUGGAAUAAACAGGGUGGUUUACAUGUUCAGCUACCGUCUUCAGAUAAUGAAUAUAAACUCUCGCAACAAAAAACAGAAAGUUCCUCUCACUGUCAACAGGGUUUAUUU